CCUACGGGUGGCAGCAGUGGGGGAUAUUGCACAAUGGGGGAAACCCUGAUGCAGCGACGCCGCGUGUGGGAAGACGGUCCUCUGGAUUGUAAACCACUUUCCCCAGGGACGAAGAUGACGGUACCUGGGGAUUAAGCUCCGGCUAACUACGUGCCAGCAGCCCCGGUAAUACGUAGGGAGCGAGCGUUUUCCGGAAUUACUGGGUGUAAGGGGAGCGUAGGCGGGAAUGCAAGGUGCGUGUAAAAACUGCCGUCUAAACUGGUAGUCGCCCUCAAAACUGCAGCUCUUGAGUGAAGUAGAGGCAGGCGGAAUUCCUAGUGUAGCGGUGAAAUGCGUAGAUAUUAGGCGGAACACCAGUGGCGAAGGCGGCCUGCUGGGCUUUUACUGACGCUGAGGCUCGAAAGUGUGGGGAGCAAACAGGAUUAGAUACCCGGGUAGUC
rnacentral:rRNA from 1 species